AUACGGAGGGUGCGAGCGUUAAUCGGAAUUACUGGGCGUAAAGCGCGCGUAGGCGGUUUGUUAAGGCGGAUGUGAAAUCCCCGGGCUCAGCCUGGGACCUGCAUCCGAUACUGGCAGGCUAGAGUCUGGUAGAGGGGGGUAGAAUUCAUGGUGUAGCGGUGAAAUGCGUAGAUAUCAGGAGGAAUACCAGUGGCGAAGGCGGCCCCCUGGACUGAGACUGACGCUGAGGUGCGAAAGCGUGGGGAGCAAACAGGAUUAGAAACCCUAGUAGUCC
rnacentral:rRNA from 1 species